ACAGUUUGUAAUGGUCAUUUGAUAAGAUCAAGUGUAGUAUCUGUUCUUAUCAGUUUAAUAUCUGAUACGUCUCCUAGCUGGAGCCCUUAUAUUAAAUUGCUUUUUGAAACAGGGAGAUGGAAUAGGGGCCUUCUCCGUCCACUCCAUGCAUCUACCUAGUAUUGCAUUGCUUCUGGGAACUGUGCACCCCAC
ensembl:snRNA U2 U2 spliceosomal RNA